rnacentral:rRNA from 1 species
GGGGGGGGGGGGGGGGGGGGGUGGGGGGGGGGGGGCGGAGGGGGCCGGCGGGUCGGGGGGCGGACGGGUGCGUGACGCGUUGGGACCGUCGCUUAGGUGCGGAAUGACGCCCCGCAAGGGGGGGUAAUACCGGAUAAUGUCGUCGGACCAAAGAUUUCUCGCCUGUGGAUGGGCCCGCGUUGGCUUAGCUAGUUGGUCGGGUAGAAGCCUACCAAGGCGACGAUACAUAGCUGGUCUGAGAGGAUGAUCAGCCACCCUGGGACUGAGACACGGCCCAGACUCCUACGGGAGGCAGCAGUGGGGAAUAUUGGACAAUGGGCGAAAGCCUGAUCCAGCCAUGCCGCGUGAGUGAUGAAGGCCUUAGGGUUGUAAAGCUCUUUUACCCGGGAUGAUAAUGACAGUACCGGGAGAAUAAGCUCCGGCUAACUCCGUG